GAUGAAGAACGCAGCGAAAUGCGAUACGUAAUGUGAAUUGCAGAAUUCAGUGAAUCAUCGAAUCUUUGAACGCAUAUUGCGCUCUCUGGUAUUCCGGAGAGCAUGCUUGUUUGAGUAUCAGUAAACACCUCAACUUUCCAUAUCUUUUUUGAAAUGGGAGUUGGACUUGAGUGAUCCCAACGCUUUUCCUCACCGAAAAGUGGCGGGUUACUUGAAAUGCAGGUGCAGCUGGACUUUUCUCUGAGCUAUAAGCAUAUCUAUUUAGUCUGCCUAAAAAACAGAUUAUUACCUUUGCUGCAGCUAACAUAAAGGAGAUUAGUUCUUGUGCUGACUGAUGCAGGAUUCACAAAGACAGGCUUCGGCCGACUUUGUAAACUCGAUCUCAAAUCAAGUAAGACUACCCGCUGAACUUAAGCAUAUCAAUAAGCGAGGA
rnacentral:misc_RNA from 1 species